UCCUGUGGUUUGAAUGCAUGCAUCCCUUCAAAAUUCAUAUGUUGAAACCUAAUCAUCAAAGUGAUGGUAUUACAAAGUGGGACUUCUGGGAGGUGAUGAGGCCAUGAGGACACCAUUCUUAUGAAUCAGAUUUAUGCCUUAUAAAAGGCUUCAGAAAGCUAGCUGCCUCAUUCCUCCGUUCUUCCAUGUGAGCACUCAUCAAGAAGGCACCAGAGAGAAAGCCCUUACCAGACACAAAGUCUGCCGAAAACUUAGACUUCUCAGCCUCCAGAACUAGUCCUAUGGCUAUUGAUAGCCAGCAUCUUGGCUUCACUCACAUGGAUGAGCCCCAGCUGGAAUGGCUAGAAGACGUGGGACAGCUGGAUCUCUCUCUACAUGGUUUUUCAUUGUAGUCUCAGGUUCCAAUAAAAGCAGAAGCUGUGAGGUCUUCUGAGGCAAAGACUUAGAAAUAUCAUAAUGUUACUUCUGCUGCAUUCUGAUGAUCAAAAAUCCCACAAUGUCAACUUCAUUUAAAGGGAACUUGUAUUCUUAGUCCAGCUGUUUAAUAAAUUGCAAUCACCUAAACACAUGCUCCUAAAUCAAAUCUCGGAUGUCAGAAAGAGCACUGAACCAUCACCGGUUUCUGUUUUUUGGAGAUGCCAAGUCAUAAUAUGCUUUUAAAGGAUGCUUCUACAAGAGCAUCACUUUUCUUUCUUGUGGAUCCACUGAAAACUGCUUUUGCUGCUGUAGAUGUGGUGGAAAUGAGGAAGCAGAAGAAGGACAUGCCUUUCACCUUCCACCACGAUUGUGAGGCUUCCCAAGCCACAAGGAACUGUAAGGUGUCUCAUGGCUGCCACUGCCCUGCCAUGCCACCCAACUUUACCAUCCUCAGCUGGCUUAUUAUUAAUGCGUCCAUUAGGAGAAGCAACAUGAGCAGCAAAGCUGCCCAACUUACCAAAUCAGUUCUACUCUUUUUCUCUCAGCAAAGACUGCAGUUCACCAUGAGUCUGAUGACAGGUAGGUGGAAGCACAAGUAA
rnacentral:lncRNA from 13 species